UACAACGGGAUACCCGAGGGAAACUUCGGUUAAUACGGUAUAAGACCACACUACCGCAUGGUAGAGGGGUAAAAGGGGCAACCUGGUAUGAGAUGGACUCGCGUCGCAUUAGCUAGUUGGUGAGGUAACGGCCCACCAAGGCGACGAUGCGUAGCCGACCUGAGAGGGUGAUCGGCCACAUUGGGACUGAGAUACGGCCCAGACUCCUACGGGAGGCAGCAGUGGGGAAUAUUGGGCAAUGGAGGAAACUCUGACCCAGCAAUGCCGCGUGAAUGAAGAAGGUCUUCGGAUUGUAAAGUUCUUUAGUCAGGGAAGAAGUCAAUGACGGUACCUGAAGAAUAAGCUCCGGCUAACUACGUGCCAGCAGCCGCGGUAAUACGUAGGGAGCAAGCGUUGUUCGGAAUGACUGGGCGUAAAGGGUGCGUAGGCGGUUGUACAAGUUAGAAGUGAAAUACCCAGGGCUUAACUCGGGUGCUGCUUCUAAAACUGUAUGACUUGAGUGCAGUAGAGGUUAGUGGAAUUCCUAGUGUAGCGGUGGAAUGCGUAGAUAUUAGGAGGAACACCAGAGGCGAAGGCGGCUAACUGGACUGCAACUGACGCUGAGGCACGAAAGUGUGGGGAGCAAACAGGAUUCUAUACCCUGGUAGUCCACACUGUAAACGAUGGAUACUAGAUGUAGGAGGUAUCGACUCCUUCUGCGUCGCAGU
rnacentral:rRNA from 1 species